UGGGUCUGGAGCUCUCUGGCACAAGAUUAUUCCUGCUGCUGCUAAGUUUAGAGGUGCAUGUGAGAAGAGGAAGCAGCCUCAUAAUGUGAUUUAUGGUUGCAGCUCCCAAACAAACUCUUGCAUUGGCAACACAUUAAGGGAGCUGGGCAAGGAACCAAGUCAAUUGACAGUGGUCUGUAGCCUCACUGAGAAGUCCUCACUUGGAGAAUUGUGACAAUCACUCUCUAAGGUUUGAAUGACUGGAUUGUAAUGAAGGAUAUGGGAAUUCUAGGAUUCUGUGCUCAGCUUGGCAUGUUGUAAAUGACAAAUGAAAGCAACUAGUCAUUUGAUUUUCCUGACCAUCUGUUUUAUAUGUUAAAAAGAAAAACCAAGGAAUUUCAAUUUUUAUUGUAGGGAAAAAAGGAAAACUGAACUGUUUUAAAGUCUUUGUUGAAACCAGAAUUGCCUUGUUUUAUCUGACCUAGCUCUGCAUGUUAUGCAUUUCUCAAAGGCAGAAUAGCAGAGAAGCAACUGCACACUUUUGAUGCUUUUCAAAGACCUGACUUACCUGAAGUGUUAUAGCAGUGACAACUUCAUUCUGCACAACUCAGACCUUUAGUCCUUAAGGCAGUACAAGUGCUUUCAUUUUCGUAACAAAGUCUGAAGCCUUGCAGAAAAUAAGGGAAUCAGAGUCCAUUAAUCAGAAUUACCAAUGUGAAGGCUGUGACAUAAGUUUAAAAAAAAAACGAGGGCAUAAACAAUGGCUCCUCUGUAAGGAGAAUCAUUUUGACCUGGAAAAAAGUGAUUGGUAAUUCAAACCAGAAAUUGCUCUGAAUGUUGAACAUAUAUUGGAAUAUUUCAUGGGCUAUUUUAUCAUUGCAACUUGUUGACAUUAUUUUGUACUUGUAAC